rnacentral:rRNA from 1 species
UAGGGAAUCUUCGGCAAUGGACGGAAGUCUGACCGAGCAACGCCGCGUGAGUGAAGAAGGUUUUCGGAUCGUAAAGCUCUGUUGUAAGAGAAGAACGAGUGUGAGAGUGGAAAGUUCACACUGUGACGGUAUCUUACCAGAAAGGGACGGCUAACUACGUGCCAGCAGCCGCGGUAAUACGUAGGUCCCGAGCGUUAUCCGGAUUUAUUGGGCGUAAAGCGAGCGCAGGCGGUUAGAUAAGUCUGAAGUUAAAGGCUGUGGCUUAACCAUAGUACGCUUUGGAAACUGUUUAACUUGAGUGCAAGAGGGGAGAGUGGAAUUCCAUGUGUAGCGGUGAAAUGCGUAGAUAUAUGGAGGAACACCGGUGGCGAAAGCGGCUCUCUGGCUUGUAACUGACGCUGAGGCUCGAAAGCGUGGGGAGCAAACAGGAUUAGAUACCCUGGUAGUCCACGCCGUAAACGAUGAGUGCUAGGUGUUAGACCCUUUCCGGGGUUUAGUGCCGCAGCUAACGCAUUAAGCACCCCGCCUGGGGAGUACGACCGCAAGGUUG